CGCGACCCCAGGUCAGGCGGGGUUCCCUGCUAAGUUUAA
rnacentral:rRNA from 1 species